AUUGAACGCUGGCGGCAUGCCUUACACAUGCAAGUCGAACGGUAACAGGUCUUCGGAUGCUGGCGAGUGGCGAACGGGUGAGUAAUACAUCGGAACGUGCCUAGUAGUGGGGGAUAACUACUCGAAAGAGUGGCUAAUACCGCAUGAGAUCUACGGAUGAAAGCAGGGGAUCGCAAGACCUUGUGCUACUAGAGCGGCCGAUGGCAGAUUAGGUAGUUGGUGGGAUAAAAGCUUACCAAGCCGACGAUCUGUAGCUGGUCUGAGAGGACGAUCAGCCAAUUUGGGACUGAGACACGUCCCAGAUGCCUCCGGGACGCCGCAGUGGGACAUUUUCUACAAUGGGGGCAGGCCUGAUUCUGUAUGACAGCGUGCGUUGGGAAGCCCUUCGGGUUGUAAACUCCUUUUGUACGGAACGAAAAGCCCUGGGUUAAUACCCUGGGGUCAGGACGGCACCGUAAUAAUAAGCACCGGCUACCUGCGUGGCAGCCGCCGCCGUAACAC
rnacentral:rRNA from 1 species